CAAGUCGAACGCAGUAGCAAUACUGAGUGGCAGACGGGUGAGUAACAUGUGGGAAUCUGCCUUGUGGUUCAGGACAACAUUGGGAAACCGAUGCUAAUACUGGAUAAGCCCUUACGGGGAAAGUUUUAAUGCCAUAAGAUGAGCCCGCAUUUGAUUAGUUAGUUGGUGAGGUAAUGGCUCACCAAGACAAUGAUCAAUAGCUGAUCUGAGAGGAUGAUCAGCCACACUGGGACUGAGACACGGCCCAGACUCCUACGGGAGGCAGCAGUGGGGAAUCUUGCACAAUGAAGGAAACUCUGAUGCAGCGAUGCCGCGUGAGUGAAGAAGGCCUUUGGGUUGUAAAGCUCUUUUGUAGGGGAAGAUAAUGACUGUACCCUAAGAAUAAGGUCCGGCUAACUUCGUGCCAGCAGCCGCGGUAAUACGAAGGGACCUAGCGUAGUUCGGAAUUACUGGGCGUAAAGCGCGCGUAGGCCGUUGAGUUAGUUAAUUGUGAAAUCCCAAAGCUUAACUUUGGAACUGCAAUUAAAACUGCUCGACUAGAGUUUGAUAGAGGAAAGCGGAAUACAUAGUGUAGAGGUGAAAUUCGUAGAUAUUAUGUAGAACACCAGUUGCGAAGGCGGCUUUCUGGAUCAACACUGACGCUGAGGCGCGAAAGUAUGGGUAGCAAAGAGGAUUAGAUACCCUCGUAGUCCAUACCAUAAACGAUGAUUGCUAGAUGUUGGAAAUUUAUUUUCAGUAUCGCAGCUAACGCAUUAAGCAAUCCGCCUGGGGAGUACGACCGCAAGGUUAAAACUCAAAUGAAUUGACGG
rnacentral:rRNA from 1 species